CAAGGGCAUGGGAAGCAACUCCCAUCUCCCGACAGUUUUUCCCAGCUUAAUAACUCUUCUUGUCUGGCCAUAAUUUUUAACCAAAAGUUUUCCUCAAAAGAGCAGCAUAUGAAAAUCCUGCCCAGAUAUGCUCAGUGCAGAUUACCAUGGCAAAAGUGGGAAGGCUUUCCUUCCAGAGAUCUGAAAAACCUGGAACCACCCUAGCAUAUUACACUCCCCUUUUGCCUGGUAAUACCAGAUAAACAGCCUGUGCAGAGGGCUCUGUAAAACAUCAUCACUUUCCAUAUCCCAGCUCUUGGACCACAGGUUCCUGACAGAUGUGCAAGAGGCAGGCAGCUGCAUGAGCAAGCGACUCAUAUGGUCUUCUAUGGGGAGAAUUCUUAUACGGGCAAGGAGAGCCAAGACCCUGCUGCCAUCACACCAGGGUCAGUGGAAGACUGGAAUCAAGGUUGGCUUCUUGUAUGUUCAUAGACCAGCCAUCCGUUCUUUACAAAGGAAGGAAGUGUAACUCAUGAAGACUGCUGACAACCUAUAGAAAUUCAGCCAUCAGUUUAAGGCCAGUAACAGCCCAGAGUGGUGCUUUACAUGCCAGUCCCAAGGGUGCCUGCCUGCAUUAAUCACAUUGAGCAAAGCUGCUAACGCUGCAAAGAUUGCUGCAUUCCUCAGCCUGCCAAGCAAGACAGUGGGCUCAGAGAGGUGGAGGCAUUCCCAGAGGCAUUUCUUGAAACGCAAUUAGGUCUGGCUGGGGAAGGAGGCAUUUGCUGGUGUGAGAGAAGAGGCUGCAAUGGCAGGUGGAUGGGAAGGCAGCGAGGCUGAGCUGGUCAGCCACAUGAGAUCCAAGGAGAUGGUCUGCCAGGGAGCACUGGCUCCGUGCUCCCAAUACCCCAUAACCACCACUCAAGCAAGGGAGGAAUGGUCCCCAAGUCCUUGGACUUCAACUGCUUGCUUUAUUAAAAAAAAAAAAAAAAAAAAAAAGUGAAAGCUCACAAAGAAUUGAAACUGCCUGGGGCAACCAAAGUGCCUUUUGAUCCAACUACGAGUGCUUAGAAGAAGAAAAGAGGCACAUGUGUUACUUUUAAAGGUAUCACACAUCCACCCACCUGUUGGGAACAGUUAAAAAAUACAACUGGGUUGGCUACAGUCUGAAGGGAGAGGUGUGAAAGGAAUAACAAGUGAAGUAAUUUCUACAGGUGACACUUAAAACAGCAGCCAAUGGAGAAGCAGUUGACAUGCAUACUCUGGUUCUUUAGUGCCUGUUCUGAGGAAAUGGCCUGACACCCUCAGCAGAGCAGAGCUGCCUAACUACCUUCUCUGACGAGACUUUAAAGAUAAAAAUUAGGUACAAUUUCUAUAUUACAGUGGUCGCAAUAAUGCUUGUCUCCUAAUUGCCUCUCAAGUGAAAUAAAACAGAACAACAUCAUGUAAUGAGGAUUUUUUUCAUAAGGAUUACUUACAUGUAAAAGGACUGCACUAACUGCUUCC